rnacentral:rRNA from 1 species
UGCAGUCGAGCGCCCCGCAGGGGAGCGGCAGACGGGUGAGUAACGCGUGGGAAUCUACCCAUCUCUACGGAACAACUCCGGGAAACUGGAGCUAAUACCGUAUACGUCCUUCGGGAGAAAGAUUUAUCGGAGAUGGAUGAGCCCGCGUUGGAUUAGCUAGUUGGUGGGGUAAUGGCCUACCAAGGCGACGAUCCAUAGCUGGUCUGAGAGGAUGAUCAGCCACACUGGGACUGAGACACGGCCCAGACUCCUACGGGAGGCAGCAGUGGGGAAUAUUGGACAAUGGGCGCAAGCCUGAUCCAGCCAUGCCGCGUGAGUGAUGAAGGCCCUAGGGUUGUAAAGCUCUUUCAACGGUGAAGAUAAUGACGGUAACCGUAGAAGAAGCCCCGGCUAACUUCGUGCCAGCAGCCGCGGUAAUACGAAGGGGGCUAGCGUUGUUCGGAAUUACUGGGCGUAAAGCGCACGUAGGCGGAUUGUUAAGUUAGGGGUGAAAUCCCAGGGCUCAACCCUGGAACUGCCUUUAAUACUGGCAAUCUCGAGUCCGAGAGAGGUGAGUGGAAUUCCGAGUGUAGAGGUGAAAUUCGUAGAUAUUCGGAGGAACACCAGUGGCGAAGGCGGCUCACUGGCUCGGUACUGACGCUGAGGUGCGA